UAGUGAGGUAGAGGCGCGAUAUUUAACAGUCUUUGGCGGAGUUUGAGAAGCUUUGAUGCCAUGGAGAAGGAAAUGUCGCCGAAGCGGGCAAUAUUCUCAUUGUUGUUUGCUGGGUCUGCAGUUAAGAACUGCAGGACUGUCUCAAUGAACUCCCCAGUUUAUUGAGUUGUGCUAUCUCGUUU
rnacentral:ncRNA from 2 species